UAAGAUGAAGGUCCAAACAUUGUCACAAAAUCUGUAUGUAUGCAGAUGUCCCUGUGAUUGGAAAGCGAAAAGAAAAAGAACAUUCAGAGUAAAGAAAAGGUAAAUAAUUACGUCGAUUAAGGUAAAUAAUUACGUCGAUUAAUUAUAAAGACUUGUGCUUCAGCGAAAAUUCAAAAAUUACAAUCAAAAUCACAUAUGUAGUAUCAAACAUAAAAAGAUGUUUUACGGUGUUGGGUGAUUCACAACCCACAAGCUACUAAGCACGCCAACAACAUGAAACGGCAGCCCACAGUCAAAUUAAUCUUCUAUAUUCUAUGAAACAAGAAACUGUCAUUUCAACAUGCAUUCAAAAACUUUCACGCAAUAUAGUGAAAACAGUGC
rnacentral:lncRNA from 1 species